GACGAACGCUGGCGGCGUGCCUAAUACAUGCAAGUCGACCUUAGUGGCGGACGGGUGCGUAACACGUGGGUAACCUGCCCAUCAGAAGGGGAUACCACUUGGAAACAGGUGCUAAUACCGAAUACUGAUGGAUGGAGCCGCGGUGCAGUAGCUAGUUGGGGAGGUAACGGCGCACCAAGGCAACGAUCCAUAGCCGAUCUGAGAGGGUGACCGGCCACAUGUGGACGUAGACACGGCCCAGACUCCUACGGGAGGCAGCAGUAGGGAAUAUUCGGCAAUGGACGAAAGUCUGACCGAGCCACGCCGCGUGAGUGAAGAAGGUUUUCGGAUCGUAAAACUCUGUUGUUAGAGAAGCGGUAUCUAACCAGAAAGCCACGGCUAACUACGUGCCAGCAGCCGCGGUAAUAC
rnacentral:rRNA from 1 species